UACGUAGGGGGCGAGCGUUGUCCGGAGUUACUGGGCGUAAAGCGCACGCAGGCGGUCUGCUAAGUUUGGAGUGACAGUUGGUGGCUUAACUGCCAAAGUGCUUCGAAAACUGACAGACUUGAGGGCUUCAGAGGGACACGGAAUUCCGGGUGGAGGUGGUGAAAUGCGUAGAGAUCCGGAGGAACACCAAAGGCGAAGGCAGUGUCCUGGGGAGU
rnacentral:rRNA from 1 species